CAGGUGCUGCAUGGCUGUCGUCAGCUCGUGUCGUGAGAUGUUCGGUUAAGUCCGCUAACGAGCGCAACCCUCGCUGUGUGGUUUACAAGUGUCACACGGAACUGCCGGUCAUAAACCGGAGGAAGGUGGGGAUGACGUCAAGUCAGCAUGGCCUUUAUAUCCUGGGCUACACACACGCUACAAUGGGAAGGGACAAUAGGUUGCGAAGCCGCGAGGCGGAGCCAAUCCAGCAAAACUUCCCUCAGUUCAGAUUGCAGGCUGCAACCCGCCUGCAUGAAGUUGGAGUUGCUAGUAAACGCAGGUCAGCCAUACUGCGUUGAAUACGUUCCCGGGGCUU
rnacentral:rRNA from 1 species